GGGAAUGUGGCCUAGUGGUAGAGUGCUUGCCUAGCAUGCAUGAAGCCCUGGGUUCAAUUCCUCAGUACCA
rfam:Dipodomys ordii contig_76440, whole genome shotgun sequence.